UCAGGUUAAGUGUUUUGUCUUUUCUUUUAAUCAGAGAAGCAAUUAGCAUAGUUGAGCUGGUGCUGCUCAUGUUUUUUUUUUUUAGUCUUCUGUCAUUAGCCAACAGGUUUUUUUCCCCUCUCACCUCAUUUAAUCUCAAUAUGCUGUCUGUUUCAAGUCUCUAAUCUACUCCCAUCAACUACAGACAUACUAUGAAAGCACAUAGAGUACACUGUCAUAUCCGUUCUUGUACAGACACGAUUGCGAGCCUGUCACCAUCAAUCAAAAAUGAGGAGUGAGAACGUCGAGUAGCGCUCACACCAAACACCAAAGUGUUCCUUUACUCUCGUGUUGGGUUGUACAUUCUCAGAGGGCCAAGAAAGCCUGUAUGUUGUGGGAUAAUGUGUGGGAAGAUAAAUGAUGUCUUUGCUUUUCAUUGUCAUGCAUAAAGAUGACACAUUACUGCUUGAAUCCAGCGAGACAACAUGAUGAUGCAAUUAACUGUGUGGGGAUACACACUCAUCUCAUAACUAAAAGUUUUGUUUGCGUUGGAGCUCCCUGGAGAUUUGGGAAUUAAAUGUUUUAUACUUGAAUUGCUGCUUAUUUUAAAGGUCUGCUGUGGUAUGGCAUCCAUCCAUCCAGAUGUGUCAGUAGGUGAAACAUAAUCCAUAUCCAGCUGUGUAGCUGAUAAAACCCUAAUUGUUUUUGCUUUGAUCAAAGGUAUGCAAUCGUUAUGGAUUUAUAUUCUAUAAUCCUACAACAACAUAUACUGUCAUGGCUCUCUCACUCUGGCUCCCUCCUGAUUGAGGUUCAUUCCUUUCACCUGCUCUCACCUGCACACCAGCUCUCCAUCUCCUCAUCAACUCAGCAGUAUAUAUACCCCGGCUCUCCGUCCACUCAUCGCCAGAUCGUUGUUUCAACUAUUGUGGAUCACCAUUCACCCACCUGCCUUCCUGCUCAGCCAUCUGCCUCAACCUGCUCUCUGGACUUAAAAACUGCUCAGCCACACUCACACCCCUACUCUGGUCUGGUCAGCCUUCGUCCCCUUUCACUCUGCUAACCUCCGGAAUCUUGAAACCCAUCUUCAUCUCCAUUUGCCACAAUAAACCUCAUUACCAAUCAA